rnacentral:ncRNA from 1 species
UGUCAUAAGAUUUCCCAAAAAUCAAUCUCAAUGAAGAGGGUGUUGAAAUCAAGGAAACAUUUGAGAGCAUUCCAUAACUUUUUCCCCUUCAAGCAAUAUCACAGACAACCUUCCAUCAAAAGUCAACAAAAUUGAAACCCAUUGUUGAGAGUUGUUGGUGCCUCAUCCUAUAACUAACAGCAAUGUUAGGAAAUCCAGAGACGUCGUCGGGGGCCCCAGGAAGAGUUAUCUUUUAUUUUUAACAGCUUGUCCACCCUGAAAUCGGCUCAAUCGGAGAUAGGGUCCAGCAGCUGGAAGAGCAUCGCAUGUCUUGCGGUGUCCAGUGGACCCUCAGCGACCCUUGAAAAUCUGGAGGACUAAGUAUCAUCCAUUCUCGGGCGUACUCAUAACCGCAUCAAGUCUCCAAGGUGAACAACCUCU